rnacentral:lncRNA from 1 species
UUGCUUGUUUCGUUAUGCUUGCGUUUAAUAGAGACAUAGAAUGCAUGUUAUAAAGUUUGGUAUGCGUUUUGUGGAUAAGAAAAGAAGAAUGGAGAGACAAGGGGUAGUAGAUAGAGUUGAUAGGUAAAGGGUGCGUUAUCAAAUACUGAACUUUUCUCUUCAGAUUUGUAAGUAUUGUCCUUAAAUUGCAUUAAUGGCCAUGAGCGAUUUUUGGCUUUUCCGUUGCCCAAAUGGUCGACUGGCUUCUCG